rnacentral:rRNA from 1 species
UGGGGAAUCUUGCCCAAUGGGCGAAAGCCUGAGGCAGCAACGCCGCGUGUGGGAUGACGGCCUUCGGGUUGUAAACCACUUUCAGCAGGGACGAAAAUGACGGUACCUGCAGAAGAAGCUCCGGCCAACUACGUGCCAGCAGCCGCGGUAAUACGUAGGGAGCGAGCGUUGUCCGGAUUUAUUGGGCGUAAAGGGCGCGUAGGCGGUUAAGUAAGUCGGUUGUUAAAUCUCCAAGCUCAACUUGGAGCUGUCAUCCGAAACUGCUUUGACUUGAGUCUGGUAGGGGAACACGGAAUACCUGGUGUAGCGGUGAAAUGCUUAGAUAUCAGGUGGAACACCAGUGGCGAAGGCGGUGUUCUGGGCCAGUACUGACGCUGAUGCGCGAAAGCGUGGGGAGCGAACAG